UCGUCUUCACCCAAUGCUAUAGGGCUAUUAGUUUGGGCUCGAAGAAUUCGAGCGAGUCAGAAACGCAGGUGUGCCAUUUGUAGGAGCGCCUUCAUGCUCUUACAAAUGUUGUUCUUGAUGAUUAUGUUCUUGAAGAGAUGGUUCUGGCUAAGAUGCAUCAUAAUAUUAAGAUUGAUAAAACUAAAAGAUAUUGGGAGCAAUGAGCUCGUACAACAUGGUUACAUC
rnacentral:lncRNA from 1 species